GAGCUAGUGAAGACGCAGCUUCUUUGGUUUGUCUGACAGUUACAAACAUACUGCGGGAAAAAAAAAAAAACGGAUUCAACUACAGUCUUUGUGCGUCACUGGAAUUGAGGGCAGCUCGUGACAGCGCGGUUUGGCCAACCGUUAACUGCGUGCCGCCAUCACCUUGUUCUGGAAGGCAGUUUGUGACAGCGCGGGUUGGCUAACAACCGUUAGCUACGUGCCCUCAUCACCUUGUUCUGGCCGGGUCUUUUAUGCGGGAGUCGCCUUUCAUUGAGGACAUCGUGGGAGAUCGCUUGUGAAGAAAUUUUUUUUUCCUUUCAUUUUUCCGCUCUCGACCUGUCGAGCCACAGGAGUGGUUGUCGAAGGAGGGACCGGUGGCGAGCUAACCCAAUUUUCGAACCUGAACUGGACACUUUUUUUGUUUCAGCUGGGAAUCUGGUAGGAACUUUCCAUAAUACUCAACAGUGAUUUACAUGUGAGCUCACAUAGCGUUUUGGGACUGGAAUAAUACGUUGAAGGGAAAACACUAAGUGCACUUAGUAAAGUUAGGGGGUGUAAAGUAACAGUUUUUUGGAUAAUUUGAGCAUUUGUUUCAUGCAGUUAACUUUUCUU